ACAAGAUUCAAUUUAGAGGAGCCAUCCGACACGGAAACUGCUUCAGUCUUGUCUCCCGCAUCGACCAAACUAACGAGCACCAUUUUAAACUGAUGACUGUUUGUUUAAAUUCUGUUUUACAUGACUUGGACGGCAAAGCUUUGAGAGUUGCCAAAGUUGGAUUUACUUUUUUGCCACUUCAGACAGUCCCAGCGGUGGUAUUUAGACCAAUUAUGUCUUUAUUCUAAAACAAAUUAGCCAAUUAUAUUUUGUCUGCAUGACUAUUUUGUCGGUUUUAUUUACAGAUCCCGUGAAAACGAGGAGUCUGUAAAUAAAAAGAGUCCGCAAGGUAUCCAUUUAUCGAGGAUCCAGCAUUGCUUCAAAUGGACGAGGAGAAAACACCCUGCUGAAACCCGGCUGGAUCAACUCAUGAACGCAUGUUGGUUCUUACUUCUUGAAGAUUUUGGACUUUUCCUGGCGACAAAGGAUUUUCAUGUGACAUGUACAAUUAUGGGAUGACCAAUAAAAUAUUAUAGUUUGAAGUGUUAGCAGCCAAAUAAGUAGUGCUGUGUAUACAUGCAAUUUGCAGUGUUAAACUUGCCAUAUCUAAGACAAAUAAAGUUUGAGAUAUCAUACGAGU